rnacentral:rRNA from 1 species
UUGUCCUACGGGAGGCAGCAGUGGGGAAUAUUGCACAAUGGGGGAAACCCUGAUGCAGCGACGCCGCGUGAGUGAAGAAGUAUCUCGGUACGUAAAGCUCUAUCAGCAGGGAAGAAAAAAAGUCUUUGGCUUUGGACGGUACCUGACUAAGAAGCCCCGGCUAACUACGUGCCAGCAGCCGCGGUAAUACGUAGGGGGCAAGCGUUAUCCGGAUUUACUGGGUGUAAAGGGGGCGCAGACGGCAGCGCAAGCCAGGAGUGAAAGCCCGGGGCCCAACCCCGGGACUGCUCUUGGAACUGCGCGGC